rnacentral:rRNA from 1 species
GACGAACCGUCCAAACGUUAUUCGGAAUUACUGGGCUUAAAGGGUGCGUAGGCGGCGCGGAAAGUUGGGUGUGAAAUCCCUCGGCUCAACCGAGGAACUGCGCUCAAUACUGCCGUGCUCGAGGGAGAUAGAGGUGAGCGGAACUUAGGGUGGAGCGGUGAAAUGCGUUGAUAUCCUAAGGAACACCGGUGGCGAAAGCGGCUCACUGGAUCUCUUCUGACGCUGAGGCACGAAAGCUAGGGUAGCAAACGGGAUUAGAAACCCCGGUAGUCC